AUUGAACGCUGGCGGCAUGCCUUACACAUGCAAGUCGAACGGCAGCGGGGACUUCGGUCCGCCGGCGAGUGGCGAACGGGUGAGUAAUGCAUCGGAACGUACCCGGAAGUGGGGGAUAACGUAGCGAAAGUUACGCUAAUACCGCAUAUUCUGUGAGCAGGAAAGAGGGGGAUCUUCGGACCUCUUGCUUUCGGAGCGGCCGAUGUCAGAUUAGCUAGUUGGUGAGGUAAAGGCUCACCAAGGCGACGAUCUGUAGCGGGUCUGAGCGGAUGUUCCGCCACACUGGAACUGAGACACGGUCCAGCCUCCUACGGGAGGCAGCAGUGGGGAAUUUGGGACAAUGGGCGCAAGCCUGAUCCAGCCAUGCCGCGUGAGUGAAGAAGGCCUUCGGGUUGUAAAGCUCUUUCGGCCGGGAAGAAAUCGCAUGGAUUAAUACUCUGUGCGGAUGACGGUACCGGCAUAAGAAGCACCGGCUAACUACGUGCCAGCCGCCGCCGUAACAC
rnacentral:rRNA from 1 species